rnacentral:rRNA from 1 species
AAACAAAUGGCUAAUGCCGGAUACGCAUGGAACCGCAUGGUUCCGUUGUGAAAGGCGCUGCAAGGCGCCACUAAAAGAUGAGGGUGCGGAACAUUAGUUAGUUGGUGAGGUAAUGGCCCACCAAGACUAUGAUGUUUAGCCGGGUCGAGAGACUGAACGGCCACAUUGGGACUGAGAUACGGCCCAAACUCCUACGGGAGGCAGCAGCC